rnacentral:rRNA from 1 species
AACACGUGGGUAACCUGCCUGUAAGACUGGGAUAACUCCGGGCAACCGGAUCUAAUGCCGGAUAGUUCCUUGAACCGCACGGUUCAAGGAUGAAAGACGGUUUCGCCUGCCACUUACAGAUGGACCCGCGGCGCAUUAACUAGUUGGUGAGGUAACGGCUCACCAAGGCGACGAUGCGUAGCCGACCUGAGAGGGUGAUCGGCCACACUGGGACUGAGACACGGCCCAGACUCCUACGGGGCAGCAGUAGGGAAUCUUCCGCAAUGGACGAAAGUCUGACGGAGCAACGCCGCGUGAGUGAUGAAGGUUUUCGGAUCGUAAAGCUCUGUUGUUAGGGAAGAACAAGUGCAAGAGUAACUGCUUGCCCCUUGGACGGUACCUAACCCAGAAAGCCACGGUUAACUACGUGCCAGCAGCCGCGGUAAUACGUAGGUGGCAAGCGUUGUCCGGAAUUAUUGGGCGUAAAGGGCUCGCAGGCGGUUUCUUAAGUCUGAUGUGAAAGCCCCCCGGCUCAACCGGGGAGGGUCAUUGGAAACUUGGGAAAAUUGAGUGCAGAAGAGGAGAGUGGAAUUCCACGUGUAGCGGUGAAAUGCGUAGAGAUGUGGAGGAACACCAGUGGCGAAGGCGACUCUCUGGUCUGUAACUGACGCUGAGGAGCGAAAGCGUGGGGAGCGAACAGGAUUAGAUACCCUGGUAGUCCACGCCGUAAACGAUGAGUGCUAAGUGUUAGGGGGGUUUCCGCCCCUUAGUGCUGCAGGCUAACGCAUUAAGCACUCCGCCUUGGGGAGUACGGUCGCAAAGACUGAAACUCAAAGGGAAUUGACGGGGGCCCGCACAAGCGGGUGGAGCAUGUGGGUUUAAUUUCGAAAGCAACGCCGAAGAACCUUUACCAGGGUCUUGGACAUCCUCUGACAACCCUAGAGAUAGGGGCUUUUCCCUUCGGGG